rnacentral:lncRNA from 1 species
UCGGAGUUCAAUACCAGUUACAUAAAAGUGUCUGAAAACCUCAAACAAAACCUAAGACCUGUAUUUAUCGUCUAUAUCACACUCUCCUCUCACCACUGUCUGCCGCCCACCGGAAAUCGUCAACGGUGGCGGUUGACCUGUAAUCCACACCAGAUUUAUACCAUAGCACCCCCUUUAACCCCUCAUAACGAAUAUGUUACCUGUUUCCUUCGAAUCAUCGUGGAACUUGUCGAUCUUUGAUCGAAGGUUGGACCUUCAAACCUUAAUCCACAAAAGAGGAUCAGUAGAAGUCGUGCAUUUUGGGUAUUGAACGUUGAAAUUGGUUUGAAAUCUGAGGUUUAAUUUGCUUGUUUGGGCAUUGUAUUAUUGCUGGUGCGGAAUUGAUUCCUAUUGUUGUUUCUCUUGCUGAUUCUUUACUUCUUUGUUUAUCUUUUAAUUCCCAGGUAUUUGUUUGAACCAUUGAAUGACAAGUGAAGUUGUAAACAUGGUUAUAUGCAUGGAAAGUAUGGAGCUUUAUUGGAAAUGCAAUUGAGCUCGUUUUUAUUUGAAGAGCACCCUGUUUAUGCUUAUAAGCUAUUUAGUUUCUUAUUCAUUGUAUUUUUUAGACUCUGUUAUAGUUUUCGAUAAAUGUUUCUUUCAUCUACUUAGUUUAAAUGUUUAAAAUUUCUAAUUAUACGUGUGAGUGGUAAAGAAUUCAUGCAAUGAAAAUUUAAGUAUGCUUCAUAUUUGUCUUGGCUUGUUGAAGCCAGUGCUGUUGUGGGAAUUUGUUUAAAUCUCUAUAAAUUUAUUUUCUUAAGGUUUGGAAUCAGAAAGUUUCACGUUGGAGUCUACCUAGUGUUGUAUUAUGCUAUUUGGAAAACCAUGAAGCACUUUAUUUCAUGAAUUGUUGACUGAAUGGUUUCCAAGUUUAGUGGUUAGCCUACCGUUGUUGUGAACAAGAAAAAUAGUCUAAAAUAUUGUUAGAGGCAGGUGCCGAUUUACUUUGUUUAAGCUUUAAUUAAUGUUACAAAU